rfam:Triticum aestivum genome assembly, contig: Triticum_aestivum_CS42_TGACv1_scaffold_289033_4AL
ACUAGCUGGUACUAAUCUCCGGUCAAAUCGGAAAAAAACACUGACAAGAUUAGCAUCACCCCCGCGCAAGGAUGGCGCGCACAGAGAAAUAUAAGAUUUGAUUUUUU